UGUUAAAAACUCGGAGCAGUGGGAGCACAAAGAUUGGAAUCAAUGGUUUUGGUCGCAUUGGAAGACUGGUUUUGAGAGUAGCAACCUCCAAGGAUGAUAUUGACAUGGUAGCAGUAAAUGAUCCUUUUGUUGAUGCCAAGUACAUGGCUUACAUGUUUAAGUAUGAUUCCAAUCAUGGAGUUUUUAAGGGAACCCUCAAGGUUGUGGAUGAAUCCACUUUGGAAAUAAAUGGG